rnacentral:sRNA from 1 species
UAAUUGGUCUACCACCGACACCCACUAUCACAAUAUCAGCUUCUAACGUUCUUCCGUCUUUCAAUUUCACCUCAGUG